UACGGGGGGGGCAAGCGUUGUUCGGAAUUACUGGGCGUAAAGGGCUCGUAGGCGGCCAACUAAGUCAGACGUGAAAUCCCUCGGCUUAACCGGGGAACUGCGUCUGAUACUGGAUGGCUUGAAUCCGGGAGAGGGAUGCGGAAUUCCAGGUGUAGCGGUGAAAUGCGUAGAUAUCUGGAGGAACACCGGUGGCGAAGGCGGCUCACUGGACCAUAACUGACGCUGAGGCACGAAAGCUAGGGGAGCAAACAGG
rnacentral:rRNA from 1 species